UUGGCAUGUUUGGCCAUACAUAGAUGGGUUUAUAGGGAUAUUAAUAUUAACUGCCAUUAAUGAGUGGAGUCUGGUAAAUCUGACAGUUACACUUUGUGGAAGUCUAUUGAUUACCCUGGAAAUACCAAUGAGUGGAGUCACUCGUUUCCCUGUUUUUUCAUGUUCAUUGUAUUUUUUCUUUUCCCCAUAUAUGAUGCGUCAUUGUGCAUUCCAAAAGACAGCUGGUUGUUUCUACAUGUGUGGGACAACAAACUUAAAAAUAUGAUCAAGAAGGUUUUAUUUUAAAUUUCUCCAGUUUAAAAAAGUAAUUUAGCUCCAGGCAUGACAUGAGUCAUAUUUGUCUUUUCUUUAGGAAGAGAAUCUUUGGACUGAUUGGACUCCUUCCUUCUGCCAUUGUUACCCGAAUCCGGAAAGCUGGCAAGCCAUGGGUGCAGCUACUUUCUGACUGUCUGGUGUCACCUAGAGCAAAAUGCAAGUUGUGUUCAGAUUGUACUGUAGAUGAGAUUUCCCCAUGUCCACAGUGUUCUGAGAGCACAGUAAUAUCUGGAAGGAACCUCUGAUCCUUCCUUUCCUGCCCCAAACAGAAUAAUUUGAACGAUAACGUGCUGGUAAAUCUGAAACAAGUCUUGAUGCUGCUUCACCUCAAGAUGAUGAUUGCCUUUCCAUAGAUCUCAAUAGAAAGCCAUAAUGCUUUUAUCAAUUCUUACUCCCUAUAGCAGCUUCUUCCCAGAAUGGUUAUUUUAAGAAAAGGUUAAAGUCAUCAUUUUUGAGGUGAUUUACGUAAGAAAUGACAACGUCUGCAGAAUGAUUGGUCAUUGUUUUUAAAUAAGCACUUUUAUAACCUCAUCAUCUUACAUGUUCUAGUCACUUGAUUUUUUGGAAAGUUUUGGAUUUCAAAAUACUGGGGUUUACCUUAGAUUCCAUUUCCACUGCAUACUUCAUUCCUACAAUUCUCAUGUCAUUAUCCUAACUAUUAAAAUUAGAAUAAAUACAUGCAACUAUAUAUAUGUACCUGUGGA
rnacentral:lncRNA from 1 species